CACGCCACCUCCAUACGUCAGUCAGUGUCAAACAACGCGCAAUAAGAGUCGGCAGUGAAAAAAAUUAUUCAGUUCGAGUGACAAAAUUAGUGGCUCAAGUGAUAUUGGAGAUCAUUCCAGGCGAAUUCAGAGAUUAUUUUCAUCACUUCUGAUUAUCACCAUUAUCACUGAUAUCCAGGGAUUAUCAGGCUACUUUUGGACUUCGAGUCAAAAUAUGGAUCUAAAAAUGUCCGUUCAAGUCUCACAGCAAUGUUGGGAAAUAUUGAUCAAGAGUACGAGAUGCUUCCGGAAAACAGAAAGAAAAAUAAUAAUGAAUAUAUUGAGGAAUGGCCCCCAACAAUUCGAGGAUUUCUCAAAAUUCUCUCCUUCUUCCCUCCGGUAAAUACAGACAAAGAAAACAAAAGGGCGACUAUUAAACAAUCUCUUCAAUCCUUCCUGAUGUUUUAUCCACUGGGAACCCCCCCGUCUGAGAUUAUCACAGAAAUUAAUAACACUGGACGAGAGAUUCCAGUCAAUCUCCAAUUUUUACGUGAAAGUCAACAACACAAUCUUAAAAGUUAAAGCUGUCGACUUCAUCGAUGCUUUUGAUUUUUAUUUCAAAAUUCAUUUUUCUUUAAAAAAUAUUGAGUAUAAGAAAUGUCAUGUUUCUUUCUUUAAGUUCUUCCAAAAAUAUGUAUAUAUAAAAUUGAAAUCGAAAAAGUCUCACCAACAAUGAAGAAUUUGGCAAUACGCCUACGAUUGGAUUAAAAAAACAACAAGAUAAAAAACUUCGAUUUAAAAAAAAGGACUUUAUUUACAAUUAAAAAAAUAUUCAUUUUUUUUCAGUAAAAUAAAAUUUGGAAAAAUGACAAA